rfam:Hordeum vulgare subsp. vulgare, WGS project CAJW01000000 data, contig: morex_contig_135013
AAGUUACCCCCUCCGUCCGGAAUUACUUUUCACAUAAAUGGAUAAAAAUGGAUGUAUCUAAAACUAAAAUACAUCUAGAUACAUCAGUUCCUAUAACAGAUAUUUUCGGACGGAGGGAGUAUAUA